AGAGAACUUGGGAUCUUCUGUUGAGCUGGAGACCAACGAAAUGAUCAGGCAGCAAUUUCUUUGUUCUGGAAAUUAGUUGAGACUAUUUAACAGCCUCGGGGGCCCUCCGCAGCACAGGGAACGAGGAUUCUCAGUGGAUAUUUCCUUUGCUGGAGGAGGAAAUCAUGUUGUGAGGAAAAUGAAACCGAGGAAGGUGUGCAUUUUAUUGGAGGAUGGGAUCUGCCAUUGGCCUGAGGAUCAUGACUUAACCACACCGGCUGUCCAGCAAGCGCCCCCCCCCCCAAUCCUCAACAAAGGGAUUAUCUACAUAAGCUACCACACCUAACUAAAACAAUAAUCUGGCAUAGUUUCUGAGCAUUUGAACUCAGUUCUUCAUGCUUCCAAGUACAAUAAAGUACAAUAAAGGCAAGUACUUUGUUAACUGAGCCAUCUCCCCUACUUCCCUUUCUGGAAGCAAUUUGUGAGGUUGACUGGCUGGGUAUGAGGUCACUGCCAGGAUGUGACAAUUGAGAAGUAUAUUCACAGGAACACAAAUCAACAGACAAAUUUUGGGUGGGGAAUGGUUUUCCCAGCUUGCAUAAUAGUCAAUCCUGCUUAUCCAUGGGAAUGAUCUUUAGAAAUCUGGGUGUGGCUGGGCAAGAAUGGAUUUAGGAAGGUCGGGUAUUUGGCAAAUACAGUUUGUAGAAUCACCACCCUCAUCCACCAAGGACUUGUAUUUCUAAGAUACAAAUAGAAGAAGACAGAGGUUCUGGGCUUACAAAAUAGAAUGGACCCAAAGGCUAAUGCUACAAAUCUGUCUGGCAGACCCUAAACAGUCACAUGGUACUUUGCUCAUAGUAUUUGUUUCUCUCUUGCUUCAUGAUAGUAGCAUUUAUUUCUGCAUGGAGAACUUGAUUCUUUAAAUGUCAGCAACUUAAACACAGCACUCGGCUGUGUCACAAAUAACCCCAGCUCUGGGGUGCAUGAGACUUUACCGAAAACGUGAAAAUGCGUUUGUUUGUUUGUUUGUUUGUUUGGAUAACGUGAAGUGUUUUUGUUUCUUCAUUUCUGCUUUAAGUCUGAGGACUCUGGCAUCUACCUCAUCCGCCGUGCAUUUGAGGCUGGUAGCAAUAUUGGGAAAGAAAUAUGAUAAUGACCGCUGCCACCAAGCGCUCUCUUUCUCAGCUCCGGUUUCACAUGUGUUGGUUCAAUGGAAUAUUCAAUAGACAUUUAUAGGAAAUAAAUUGAGAGAUGAAUG
rnacentral:lncRNA from 1 species